rnacentral:misc_RNA from 1 species
UGUGGGAGCGGGCUUGCUCGCGAUGGCGGUGUUUCAGUCUGAGUUGCAUUAACUGACCCACAGCCAUCGCGGGCAAGCCCGCUCCCACA